UUCGGAUUGAAGCCUUGGUGACUGAGCGGCGGACGGGUGAGUAACGCGUGGGUAACCUGCCUCAUACAGGGGGAUAACAGUUGGAAACGACUGCUAAUACCGCAUAACAUCAAUUUAUCGCAUGAUAGGUUGAUCAAAGGAGCAAUCCGCUGGAAGAUGGACUCGCGUCCGAUUAGCCAGUUGGCGGGGUAACGGCCCACCAAAGCGACGAUCGGUAGCCGGACUGAGAGGUUGAACGGCCACAUUGGGACUGAGACACGGCCCAGACUCC
rnacentral:rRNA from 1 species